rnacentral:tRNA from 1 species
GGGUCGUUAGCUCAGUCGGUAGAGCAGUUGACUUUUAAUCAAUUGGGCGGGCGUUCGAGUCGCCCACGACCCACCA